rnacentral:rRNA from 1 species
UGGCGGCAGGCUUAACACAUGCAAGUCGAGCGCCCCGCAAGGGGAGCGGCAGACGGGAGAGUAACACGUGGGAACGUACCUUUCAGUUCGGAACAACCAAGGGAAACUUUGGCUAAUACCGGAUACGCCCGUAAGGGGAAAGAUUCAUCGCUGAGAGAUCGGCCCGCGUCUGAUUAGCUAGUUGGUGGGGUAAUGGCCCACCAAGGCGACGAUCAGUAGCUGGUCUGAGAGGAUGAUCAGCCUCACUGGGACUGAGACACGGCCCAGACUCCUACGGGAGGCAGCAGUGGGGAAUAUUGGACAAUGGGCGCAAGCCUGAUCCAGCCAUGCCGCGUGGAUGAUGAAGGNCUUAGGGUUGUAAAGUCC